rnacentral:rRNA from 1 species
CUGCUGCCUCCCGUAGGAGUCUGGUCCGUGUCUCAGUACCAGUGUGGGGGACCUUCCUCUCAGAACCCCUACGCAUCGUCGCCUCGGUGGGCCGUUACCCCGCCGACUAGCUAAUGCGCCGCAUGGCCAUCCGCAGCCGAUAAAUCUUUAAACAUCGGGAGAUGCCUCCCAACGUUGUUACGCGGUAUUAGACGGAAUUUCUUCCGCUUAUCCCCCUGCUANCGGGCAGGUUCCAUACGUGUUACUCACCCGUGCGCCGG